CCAGCCGCCAUCAUCUUGCAAGCCCCUCCUUCACCCAACUUGAUCGGCUAGCCCUCUCCCCCCAAAUCCCCCCACCGAGCUUCAAAUCAAGAACCAUACUCUAGCCCUCUCCCCCUUCAUGCUCUCCCUCUCUCCAUUUUGUGCGCCUCCCCCUCCCCUUCCACCGCCGCCCUCCCUUAGGUCCCCGUGUUCUACCUAGUUGGAGCCGGGAACCCGCAGUGCUGGUCGCAAAAUCGAGCUCCGAGGGAGAGGUGGCUGCGGCGGGAGAUGCGGAGGAGGUGGCAGUGGAGGAAGGGGAAACCCUAGCAAACCAGUCGGAGGUGAAGGAAGAGUCGAAGGUCUCUGAUGGCGAAACCGAGGUGAAGUUGAGGAGGAAACCUAAAAUCAAGCUUGAAGAUAUCAUGGGGUGAACAAGAGAGCAGUCGAGGCUGCUGAGAAGGAAAGGCUAGUGCCAGACAUCAAGACUGGGGAUAUUGUGGAGAUUAAACUCAUCAUGUUUGAGGGAGACGAGUUGGAUCUUUUUUUUUUUUUUUUGCAUAGACGAGUUAGAUCUUUGCUCGCUCUUCCAUAUCGUGAAGCUCAAGGUCGAGAUCUGAGCUGCUGAAAAACUGGGUUUUCAAGGAGCUAGCAUUUGAAGACCAAGAUAAAGAUGAAGAUGAAGAUGAAGGCUGAGGGAUGCUUCUAUUUCUACUGUAAUUUUUAAUUUGUAACUUGUAAUUAUGCUUCAUGUAUUAUUUCUAUUAUAAUUUGUUAAAAAAAUAUCA